UGGCAGCAGGAGAUGAAGGGAGAGGGAGGAGGUGGCAAGACAAAACCCAAUUUCCCCCCCCUUCCUUUUUAAUUCUUUCUUCUGGUGUGUCUGCUCCACCGCCUGGCUAAUCCCCCAAAUCCGGUCUCCUAAGCUGCAGCUGCUUCCCUGCCGCAGUGAUGAAUGGCUCAGGGAGGGAAGACUGGACUACUGGAUGGUAUAUUUGGCAGAAGAAUAAUUUAGACCCCACACACCAAGGACUGUUUUAGGCCAUUGAAAGCUGG
rnacentral:lncRNA from 1 species